rnacentral:rRNA from 1 species
UACGUAGGUGGCAAGCGUUGUCCGGAUUUACUGGGCGUAAAGAGCGCGCAGGCGGUUGGAUAAGUCGAAUGUGAAAGCCCCCGGCUCAACUGGGGAGGGUCAUUCGAUACUGUCCGACUCGAAGGCAGGAGAGGGAAGCGGAAUUCCCGGUGUAGUGGUGAAAUGCGUAGAUAUCGGGAGGAACACCAGUGGCGAAGGCGGCUUUCUGGGCCC